UUUAAUGCUGCGUUCACACGUAAUUCGAAUUCGAUUCGCAUUAACUAAUUCGAAUUAGUUUAAUUCGCAUUCGAAUCGUUUUACGUCCAAACGUUAAUUCUAAUUCAAAUUGCAAUACGCGUCAAAUUUGCUUUACUGUCCGAAUGACGUUAACUUUUAAUUCGUAUCAACAAAAACGGAUUUCUAAUGCGAAUUGGUUAAUGCGAAUUAGCCAAUUCGAAUCAAUUCGAAUUAAAAAGGAAGAGUGUGUGAACGCGAUUAGCGAAUUCGAUUCGCAUUCGAUUCGAAUUCAAUUCGAAUUAAAUGUACGUGUGAACUAGGCAUUAAAUUAAAAAUUUUUUUUUGGUUGUAUAUUGGUAUCACGUUGUCGUCAUCGUCAGCGUUGUCCAAAGACAGAUGGUUUCUGGAUAAUAACUUUAGUAUAAGUAAAUAGAAAUCAAUAAAAUUUUAACACAAGGUUUAUAAUCACUAAAGGAAGGUUGGGAUUGAUUUUGGGGGUUAUGGUCCCAACUGUUUAGGAAUGAGGGGCUAAAAAAGGGGCCCAAAUAAGCAUUUUUGUAGUUUCCAGACAAUAACUUGUGUUAAAGUGUAUGAAUCUCUCUGAAAUUAUACCACAAACUUCCAUACAACAAAGGGAUGGUUAGGAUUGACUUUGGGGGGUUAUGGCUCAAACCAUUUAGUAAUUAGGGGCAAAAAAAGGGGAAAAACAAGAGUUUUUCUGGUUAAAGGACAAUUGAGACAAUUUAAAAGCAGUGUAAGGGAGGUAAUCCAAUUCAAAUUAAAGAACACUGUUUGAUUACCUCCCUUACACUGCUUAUAAAUUAUGUAUUAAGAAAUGAUGAUUGUCUUGAAGUGAUUAGCUGUCAAUUUAUUUUUAGCAGUUACUAUUAAUUGAUAUUAAUUUUAGCCAUGACUAUGUACGUCAUUUUAUAUUUUAAAACUUUUAUGAUGGAUUUAAAUGGGUAAUUUUGGUUGCAAACUGCAUUAGAAAUUUGAAUUGAGAUACUGACCAUAUCUUGAGGGAAAGAAUUUUUUUGGGGAAUAAGGGAAAGGGGGGAGGUGAAAAAAAUUGGAGGGGGGACAAUUUUUCUCAUUUCAGAUUUCAGAAAUUAAAAGAAAAUUUCUUCAAAUAUUUUUUUUGGGGAGUCAAUAUUCAACAGCAUAGUGUAGGGGGGGGGGGGGGGGGGUCAAUUCGCAACAGCAUAGUGUAUUGCACAAAAGCAAUAAAUUGAAUA